AUUGAACGCUGGCGGCAGGCCUAACACAUGCAAGUCGAGCGCGCGGCGGACGGGUGAGUAAUGUAUGGGGACUGCCCGACUGAGGGGGAUAACUACUUGAAACGGUAGCCAAUACCGCCUUCUAUCCGAUAACCCAUAUGGGAUUAGCUAGUAGGUGGGGUAAUGGCCCACCUAGGCGACGAUCCCUUGCUGGUCGGAGAGGAUGAUCAGCCACACUGGGACUGAGACACGGCCCAGACUCCUACGGAGGCAGCAGUGGGGAAUAUUGCACAAUGGGCGCAAGCCUGAUGCAGCCAUGCCGCGUGUAUGAAGAAGGCCCUAGGGUUGUAAAGUACUUUCAGUCGGGAGGCGUUACCGGCAGAAGAAGCACCGGCUAACUCCGUGCCAGCAGCCGCGGUAAUAC
rnacentral:rRNA from 1 species